rnacentral:lncRNA from 1 species
GCACGAUGAGCUGAUGCAAAAUGCAAUCUAAUGGCAGAGUUUGUCUGGGAAAGGCUUCCUUGCUAAGCAAAGGAUACAGACAGAAAAGCUCUCCUCGUGCUUUAUAUGGGCCCGUUGUUGUCUUUGAAUAUGGCCUUUUGAAUUUGGUCACAGCGUUGGAAGCAUAAAGGGAUCCAGGGUGACCACCUGCUUCACAGUGAGCAGGGAUAAGCCGAAGCAUGGGAAUUUCAAAAUGUCACUUUACGGUGUCUGUGACCCAGUACACAGAACAGGACUUGAGGUGCCCUACCCACACACUGUGUGUUGAUGAGAUUUUCACUAUUUUUCACUUUAUAAUGUUGAGUCCCUCUUAGGAUGAGAUGAAGUAUAUUGACACGUCCUCCCUGUGCGGGGGUUUGUUUUACUAGUCCCUGUGGUCAUCAGGGAGGCAAGGACGAGCUGCCAGCUCAGUAUGGGGACCCUCCUAGGGAAUGUCACAGCACCUUCUUGCAACUCCUUAGGUGUCUCCACCUGGUGCCAUCAACCCAUGGCAGAAACUGCCAGUUCCUGUGAUGGCCAGUGGAAGGAGCGACCCCACUGCUGCUUCUACCUGCUACAGAUUCAACUGUGACGACUGACUUCCUUCACUACAACUUCUCUGAGCAGAACACACCUAAAUAUGAAAUGAAGUGUGUGCCUGUGGAGGACCUGCCUUGCAGCCAAGAAACUGGAGUCCAGUGGAAGGAAAGGGUUGCUCCAGAGGCAACACCAAGCAGGACUUUAACUUCCCCUGCGGGGAAGCACGCUGCCAUAUCACAGAGGCUUUGCAACCAGCCCCCACCCGUUAUGUCUCCACCAGUCUGACUCUGUUUAUCAGAUAUAAGGAAUCAGAAGGCACGCCAAAGCACAGGAAGUGUUUUUAGUGGCUGUAAGACAGCACUGGAGACGACCCAGCUGCCAUGGUGCUCUGGAGACAACUGGGAAUGAAAGUCUGUCUGGCUCCACCUGUGUCCAGGUCUAUGCUCUUCUGCUCGUGUGUGUGUAAACUGUGGA